UUCAUUCUCUCUUCUAUAAUCUCUCAAAUUCAUUCAUUCUUGAAGAGAAAUAACCAUCAUCACGCGUUAUGUAACAAAUGAUUUCGACGAUUGGGUAAACGUUCAGAUAUGACGCUUGAGGUCUCCGACGGUGCCGUUUUGGUUCGAAUAGGUUAAAGAAUGUUGGUGUGACGGUCAAUUAUAGCGAUAAUUGUUUCUUCGCAAACGGGUCUCAAAGAGGGAUAUGAAUUGAGAAGUGAAUCGGCGUCGUAUUCCUUUUCGAAGGUAUUGAUUUAUUUAUAAAUUAUUCUGCAAUUUUAGAUUUCUUUAUUAUCAAAGAAACUUAUACAAUUUUUGCAUUCUUGAUUAUCCAACAAGUUUAUGCAAUUUUCGUAAUUCUUGAUAACCCUAAAGGAAUUUGUGUUGAAAUAUUUUAAUCCAAUUCAUUCUAGACUAUUAUAAAUUGUCGCUCAGAAAUAGCAUAAAUUUUGAAACUAUUGGAUGCCUAAAUGACCUGAAAGGAUAUAUUUGUUCCAUCAAUGUUGUUUUCCAUGUCGUCUGUCCAAAUGAACCUUACUCAUAAUGUAAAAAGUUGGAUGCCAUAUUGAUAUGAAUUUUUUAUUCAAUGAAGUAUUAAGAAUACUUUACUUGCGAUAUUGAUGCCUAGAUGAUUCUAAUGAUGCCUAACAAUGCCUUCAAUUUGCUUGUGAAUUGAUGCCUCAAUGACCCUAAAUGAAGUAUUACGAAUAUUUUAGAUGCGAUAUUGAUGCCUCAAUGAACCUAAUGAUGACUUUAAUUUACUUGUGAUAUUUGAUGCCUCAAUGCCGAUUGAUGCCUUCAAUUUGCUUGUGAUAUUGUUGCCUAUGGAUACUUUCUUGAUGGGAUGAAUCCACUGAAGGAUUUGCAUGUUUUAGAUCAUUUAUUAAUGCAUCAAUGACCCUGCUGAUGCCUUGAAUAUUCUUGUGAUAUUGAUGCCUCGAUGACCCUAAUGAUGCUUUGAUUUUACUUACGAUACUGAUGCCUCGAUAUUGAUGCCUCAAUGACACUAAUGAUGCUUUGAGGAUACUCGCAAAAACUUCACAAGCCAUCUUUAUGAUGCUCUGAGUCAAAAGAAAGUUGAAACCUUCAUAGACAUAAAUGAGCUUGAAAAAGGAGAUGAGAUCUCGCCAACACUCAUCAAAGCCAUUGAGGAGUCAUAUGUAUCUAUUGUCAUCUUCUCACAAAACUGUGCUUCGUCAAAAUGGUGUUUGAAUGAGCUCAAAAAGAUUCUAGAAUGCAAGAAAUAUACGGAACAGAUUGUGAUUCCUGUUUUUUGCAACAUAGAUCCAUCACAUGUGAGAAAGCAGAUCGGGAGUUACAAGGAUGCCUUUGCAAAACAUAACUGAGAUUCGAAGAACAAUAAUGAUAUGUUGCAGAAAUGGAAAGCUGCUCUCACCGAGGCAGCUAGUUUAGUUGGUUGGGACUUUCAAAAUUACAAGUAAAUAUAAGUAACUAUCCAGCUUUCUACAUAUGAUGAUUUGUAUGUUUCAAAAAGUAUAUGUAAACUCAAUAACAACUUCAUAUCUUGUGCACGUUUGGUUUUCUAAUUUUUAGGACUGAAUCAGACUUCAUUAAGGCCAUUGUCGAAGAUGUUUUGCAGAAACUGAACCUUCGAUACCAAUAUGAAAUUAAGGGGUUUGUUGGAAUUGAGAAGAAUUUUGAAAAAAUUGAAUCAAAACUGAAAAUUGGGUCAAAUGAUGUAGAGUCCUUGGAAUAUGGGGCAUGGGUGGCAUAGGAAAGACCACCCUUGCUGAGGCUUUAUAUGCUAAACUGUAUUCCCAAUUCAAAGGUCAUUGCUUCCUCAAUGUAAAGGAUGAAUCAAACAAGUAUGGACUUAAUGUUUACACAAUAAAUUUAUUUCUACAUUGUUAGAGGAAGAUAAUCUUCAUCCUGAUGCACCCUUUUUAGAAACCCCUUUCUCUGUGAGAAGGAUUGCACGUAAAAAAAAGUUUUCAUUAUGUUGGAUAACAUGGAAAACGUAGAGCAAAUAGAAGAUCUUAUCCUUAAAAUUGAUGGGUUGGGACCGGGUAGUAGGGUCAUUAUUACAACUAGAGGAAAGCAAAUAUUAAGUCAGUUCAGUAAAUGUGAAAUAUAUGAGGUUAAGGAAUUGAACAAACAUGAUUCUCUGGAAUAUAUUAAGUCAGUUGUUGUCUGGAAUUCUGCAACAAAGAAGAUGAAGAGAAAUAUGAAGAAGCAACACGCACCAUGAAGGAAGCGGCAGACUCAAACUUAGAAAAUUCUGCAUCAAUUCCAAGUGAAACCUCAAAAUGAUGGUGGACACAAUUUUUCGUUCAAGAUUCAAGUUAAAUUGUGUGAAGGGUAAGGGUAUCCAAUGAUUUUGAUCUCUUGCUGUAAAUUCAAAGAAUUGAGUAAUC